rnacentral:antisense_RNA from 11 species
AAUGACCGAAUAUAACACCUGGACCCGCUGUGAGAUUCGUAAUUUCCCUUACAUCCCCACCACCGGGAGCCCAGGUAUCAUAUGCACCUCCGGAAUACGGAGCUUUGGACACCGAUAGAAGGGCACCAAUACCCAGCAGGAUCGGGUGAAUACCUGGAAUGGUGGUCAUUUUGUUCCUAUCCCUCCG